rnacentral:rRNA from 11 species
GGUGCCAAAAACGCCCCUAAAUGCACUGGAUUCCAUUUGAUCUUGGAAGCUAAGCAGUGACUGUCUUGGUUAGCAUUUGGAUGGUACACUACUAAUAAAUACUAGGUGCAGUUGGCACCU